rnacentral:rRNA from 1 species
GGGGAAUAUUGGACAAUGGGCGCAAGCCUGAUCCAGCCAUGCCGCGUGUGUGAAGAAGGCCUUUUGGUUGUAAAGCACUUUAAGCGAGGAGGAGGCUACUUGGAUUAAUACUCUAGGAUAGUGGACGUUACUCGCAGAAUAAGCACCGGCUAACUCUGUGCCAGCAGCCGCGGUAAUACAGAGGGUGCGAGCGUUAAUCGGAUUUACUGGGCGUAAAGCGUGCGUAGGCGGCUUCUUAAGUCGGAUGUGAAAUCCCUGAGCUUAACUUAGGAAUUGCAUUCGAUACUGGGAAGCUAGAGUAUGGGAGAGGAUGGUAGAAUUCCAGGUGUAGCGGUGAAAUGCGUAGAGAUCUGGAGGAAUACCGAUGGCGAAGGCAGCCAUCUGGCCUAAUACUGACGCUGAGGUACGAAAGCAUGGGGAGCAAACAGG